UUCACUCGCUCUUGCUCUAUAAUUAUAAUACAGUAACUAUUUCCCCUCCUUACAUAGGUGUAUUUAUCAACUCUCUCAUUCUAUGGCAUUCUCGCGAGGACGAUGCUUGUAUACCGUAUAUCUGUCCUUCUUCAUUCUGAAUAACCUUUCUUCGUCUCUCUUCAUACCACGCGGUGUAUACAGUAGCUCACGAUUGUAUUCGAACACUUGUAAAACGCAUUAUUUUGAAAUUUUAUUGGCAUUGUAAUGAUUAUAUUUAUUGGUAAAAUUUGUAAUGAAUCUGAAAGUCUAUGCCAAAAUUGCAAGAUAUUUAUUGUAAGCGAUAUGACAAUAUGAUAACGAUAGACUCUAGAUAGUUCUUAUUACUGUAGACUAAUUUCUUACUUAAUAUGCGUUUGCAGCAAAUACCUUGUUGCUUCUAUGUACAUUUUUAGAUCGAAUAUUUCAGGUAUUAUCAUGAUAUUUACAUUUCAUUGUACUGUUAAUUCAAAAUGUUUUAUAUAACGUAUAUACAUCAAAUAUACGUAUGUAUAUGUACAUCAGUAUACGCAUAAAAUAAUUACAUAAAAUAUAUAAAAUAAAAUAUUUGCGUACAAUAUAUACAUAAAAUAUUUCCUAUGAUAAAAGUGUUCAAAUACCUCCAUAAGCAGCCACAAAUCGGUAAUGAUUUCAUAUGAGACCUUCAGAUAUGUAUGCUAUUUCCUUUCCGAUCGUUAAUCGAAUAUGUAGUUAAUAGCUUCGUCAUUUCCAAAUGACGUUCAUUUAUAAACCGUUGUACUAUGAGUUAAUAGGUAAAUUUGUAUAUGAGAGGUUGAGGUUAGGUGUCAGCUGGACAGAAUCAUUACCUCCCACUGUCUUUCUCUCUUUCGGUCGACGAUCCACGGAGCGAAAGAAGAUUCGCUUUAAUUCAAAGCGAAUUAACCUUCCUGCACGCUUUUGCCCCCACUGAUCUUACGUAAUUAAGUGCGGUCAAGCCUGACAUGCUUUUUACGAAUUUUGAACUACAAGGAAGCGCGCCAUCGUGCGGCGCGAUCGUUUGUAUAGUCCCUACGAUUAUCGAACGAUUAUAUCGAUUAAUACAAUUGACACUCCAUCUCUUCGAUAAAGUGUUGCAAAACAGAACAUCGUUCCGGAAGAUUAGAAAAGAUUAGAAAAAUUAUCUGAGAAAAUAGAUUCGAGCAUUCGAAUAGAAUUAAUUUGUGAAUGUCACGUUCAAGUAGUUUGACAUAUAUGGAAUUAAAGUGUCGCCUAUGUUCCAGCCGUGACCGUUCGUUUUAUGCUCAUGUAGCUGCUUGUCACGCGUGCUAUUCGCGAUGCGAUAGGAUUGCAUCGGUAUUAUACAAUACUUCAACUGAAACGUAGGUGGAACGCGAACUGUGCAAGUUUCGUCUAAAACUCCGUCCAGCUGAUGAUAAUAGAUUCACUGAUCUCUGCACUCGUGCACGCACGUAUCAGCCGAGUCAUUUUUCACCCGAUGCAUUACCAUCGGAUGCUACUAGCGAAAACGUCCUCAUGGAAAGUAGCAGUUUUGUAAGGAAGCUAAGUAUAUAUGUAUAUAAAUCAUAUUUCUUUGCAUUUAAAUACUGUCUCCUUAUCUCUUCCUCGUAGGUAUUCAUUGAUUCUUUUUCUCUUUUAAAUGAUGUGUUACGCCUAUAUACCAGUUCAUUUAAAAAAUAAGCAUUCGCUGAUCUUCGUAUCGCGUUAUCUCGGUCGCACCUUCUGCGAAAUUACACGUGCAUAGAGUGGGACACGGUUUCAAGGGAUCUAUGUGCGGCGUUGCGCGCGACCUGUUUAUUUUCGGGCCGAUUCUCAUAU